AAAAUAAAUGAAACAUUUUAAAUCUUUAGUUGUAUUUUAUUUUAAUGUAAUUUUAAACAACUAUUACACCUCUUUUCUUAUUCUUGAUUUCUGUGCAUUUGCUGCAGAUCUUUUGUGGUGGAGCAGGACCUGCAAGGAAAGGUGAAAAAAAGGGAAAACCUGAAACAAAAGAAUAAUGUAAUGACUUUUUGUAUUGUGUAUGUGUAUUUUUGUAUGACAUGAAAAUGUCUGUAGACUGGUGAUUGCACUGAGGAUGGCGAAGACCACAGCAUCAUCCUGAAAAUGAUCGAGAGUCACAGAUGACUUUCCACCUGCCCUUAACUGUCUCAUCAGUACCAGAUGCCAGGGAACCAGGGAACACAUGUUAGGUAGUCGCGCUCAUGGGGUGCAGGCACACAAAAUUUUCUCUAACUUCAAGGUUGUGUGGUUCAGAGAGCCGUCACCAAGGUCUUCCUCAUCCUGUUGCUCAACGACAUCCGCGUUGAGAAGAGUGAGAUUAUGAAGUGCAGCAGCAGCGCUGUAUCAGCUGUGUUCAGAUGGCAGGAGGAUGUUGGGUUCACCAUCUGUAAAUACUUGAUUGUUAGAACAUUAAGUUUGAAUGAAGCUUUGUUUCAUGUGUUGUUGACUUGUACAUGUAUGCAUUUAUUGUGAUGCUAACUUUUAUACAUUAUUUUAAUCAUUUAGACAUGUUUUUUUGCUGUCAGUAAAUAAAAUAUAAAUAUUUUA